rnacentral:rRNA from 1 species
CGUGAGUAACCUGCCUUGGAGUGGGGAAUAACACAGUGAAAACUAGUGCUAAUACCGCAUAAUGCAUUUGGGUCGCAUGAUUCUGAAUGCCAAAGAUUUAUCGCUCUGAGAUGGACUCGCGUCUGAUUAGCUAGUUGGCGGGGUAACGGCCCACCAAGGCGACGAUCAGUGGCCGGACUGAGAGGUUGGCCGGCCACAUUGGGACUGAGACACGGCCCAG